rnacentral:tRNA from 1 species
GCCUUCGUAGUGUAACACUAGCACACUCGACGCGUAUUCCAGAGAUCCAGGUUCGAGUCCCGGCAAGGGCA